AUGUCUGUGUGUUAAGGGAAAGCGAUUUUACUGUCAAUAAAAGGAUACCGGUUCGAAUCCGGUCAGGCAUA
rnacentral:tRNA from 1 species